rnacentral:sRNA from 1 species
GGCUGAGGCAGGAGGAUUGCUUGAGCUCAGGAGUUCCAGGCUGCAGUGGGCUAUGAUUGCAUCACUGCACUCCAGUCUGGACAAUAGAGCAAGACCCUGUCUCUUAAAAAAAUAAAGUCUGUUGAAAAGAAUGAAUGAAGGAAGGAAGGAAUGAGAAGGAAACCCCGUCUCAGCUCCUCCCGCAGGGAAGCUGGGGCAGGGCAGGCAGGGGGGGCAUCCGGCCCCGCUCCCUCCCUUACUCUGGCCCAGAAAGCACUGGUGCCAUCUGCACAGGGUGGAGCCAAAGAAAGUGCCCCACUCACAGCAGAGGGAGGCCAUUUGAGGACAGCAGGGAAAAUGGGAUCUCAGCCAUCUAGGAGGGGGCCAGAGAUGUGGGAUGGACACCUAGGAAAUCCAGCCGAGGACACCAGAGUGGCUUUUGACUCUGGUCCCCUGGCUGAAUGCGUUCCCUUUACAGUUUAAAUUUAGGCUCAAGGAGAAGAAGCUGGCAAUCGGCAGGGCCAGUGCUGUAGAGAGGAUGUAGGGUUUCCGGAAAAUAGCCAACACUUCAGCAGUGCUGGCUGCGAGCUCAUCCAAGCAUGUUACGGGUGUUAACUCAUUUCCUCUCCAGCAACCCUGUGAGAGGGUCUGAGUGUUCCCAUCUCCAUUUUACAGAGGCUCAGAGAGGUGCAGUCCUUUGCCUGAGGUCACACAGCUAGUAAGAGGCAGAGCCGGGAUUUGAACCCUGGCAGUCUGGCCCUAGAGCCCCAGCUGUUAACCAUUAGGCUUUAUAGCCCCAGUUAUAACAACAAUAACAAUACUAAUACAAGUGAACCUUCAUUGAGUGCUAUUUAUAGAUCAAGCACUAUUCUAAGGAUUUUAAAGCAUAUUUAAUUCUCACAGCACUCUGAUGAAGGAGGUAUUCAUUUUACAAUUGAAGAAACAGAGGCCUAGAGACAUUGAGUCACUUGCGCAAGGUCACACAGCUGGCCAGUGGCAGAGCCAGCCUUUGAACCUGAGCCUUCUGGUUGCAGAGCUACGGCUUUUAGGCACUGUGCUGAGGGCCUCCAGAAUGACACAGAUGUGGCCUCGAGUUACACACGGAGGCAGGUUGAGGGUGACCCCCACCAGGCCUACCCAAGGCUGGGUAUUAAUAAUCACAGUGCAUACACCAGGCCCAGGGAGGUUGAGCCACUCGUCCAAGCUCACACAGCAAGCUCACAGCACACUCAGGCUGUCAUGCAGCCUGGGCUACCCCCUUAACCCUGCCUGGCCCCUGCAGCUAACAGAGACAUGGCAUCCAUCGUGUCUGAGAUCAUGAUGUAUGUGCUCAUUGUGGUGUUGACCAUAUGGCUCGUGGCAGAGAUGAUUUACUGCUACAAGAAGAUCGCUGCCGCCACGGAGACUGCUGCACAAGAGAAUGCCUCGGAAUACCUGGCCAUCACCUCCGA